rnacentral:lncRNA from 1 species
UGCUACAGGUUUUAUACUGAUAGGGGUUGGCGUGUAGCUGACGGAUUGGCUAGAGAGGGGGUGAGAGGGCGGGGAUAGCAGGGGGGGCCGUUCCUGGCGCUCUGAUGGCUACACAGGCGUAUCAGCUAAGUUGGCCAGAAAGAUAGCCGCCUGUGGGGACAGGGCUACACCCUGCGCCCUGCGCCCUGCCCCUGCCCCCUGCCUCCUGCGCCCUGCCCCCUGCCUGUCUCCUCUUUCAAGUUGGAAUAAACUGACCGUGACAUGACACAAACAAGAGCAAGCACCCCUCGCCAGGAUGUGGGGUUCCGCAUCAGCACCUGCACCUCAGCCCGCCUCGGGGAACUUUCCGGAAGACCGUGCAGAUGUCCUCCACGGUGUUCACCCGGCUGGGGAGAGGCCGGCAGCGCCCCUCGCCGCCCACUUCCACCCCCGUAAGUGCCGCGGAACUUCCCGGAACGCCGUCGACUUUCAACAAGGUUUCACUGAUUCUGAAGGUAGUUUCCUGGCUCCUGUGGUCAGUCAUUUCCUGCUCGCCCCGGAACGAUUCUGCUCGUGGUCUGCGAGGGUUCCGGCCUCGGCUUGCUGGCCGCAGGAGCUGGCGAGCGAGCCCUCCCCUGUGAGGGGCACAAGGCGGCGGGGUCCACGGUGCAUCCAGGUCGUCCCUUGUUCGGGGUCUACGUUGUGUCAAAGUAUCUCUCUGGGGGAGUGCAGCGCCAGCGAGGAGAGCAGCAUCUGCUGCAAUGAACCUUGCAAAUCACCCGCCUCCACCUGGCGCGCGUUUCCAAAUGACGUAGUUGUAUGAUUACGGCAAGUGGCCUUGCGUGUCGCGUCCUUCCAGGUCUCUGUCUAGCUCGUGGUGAUUCCGGAGCCUUGAGGAACUCCCGCAUGGGGAGGCCGGGCCGGAGAGCCUGCGAGCUGGGCUCCACGCCGAGGACGAGGGCUUGUGCUCC